rnacentral:tRNA from 5 species
AGGGGAGUAGCUCAACUGGCAGAGCGGCGGUCUCCAAAACCGUAGGUUGCGGGUUCAAGUCCUGUCUCCCCUGCCA